rnacentral:rRNA from 1 species
CGCUGGCGGCGCGCUUAACACAUGCAAGUCGAGCGACCACCCAUCCGCUUGCGGAUGCUGAAAGCGGCGAACGGGUGAGUAACACGUGGGUGACCUGCCUGGGAGCGGGGGAUAACCUGGGGAAACUCGGGCUAAUACCGCAUACGUUCGCGGCGCUGCGGCGCCGCGAAGAAAGCUGGCCUCUACAUGUAAGCUGGCACUCCCAGAGGGGCCCGCGGCCGAUUAGCUUGUUGGUGGGGUAAUGGCCCACCAAGGCGACUAUCGGUAGCCGGCCUGAGAGGGUGAUCGGCCACACUGGGACUGAGACACGGCCCAGACUCCUACGGGGGGCAGCAGUGGGGAAUAUUGGACAAUGGGCGAAAGCCUGAUCCAGCAACGCCGCGUGGAGGACGAAGGCUUUCGGGUCGUAAACUCCUGUCAGUUGGGACGAAAAGCUGUCGCAGAACAUGCGGCAGUCAUGACGGUACCAGCAGAGGAAGCCCCGGCUAACUCCGUG